GGAUUUCCAUUGUACUCGCUUUAUGUUUUAUUUAGUGGUUUUACAGUUUUAUCCAUAUCUCUUGUUGUAGCUAUUAGACAUUUACUAUGCUCUGAUAUUCCUGGAUGUCUUUUAUUAUUGCUUUUAUUAUCGUUGUUUUUAGACGCCUUAUAUGUUGUAGACAUAUGGCGGGUCUGGACACGCGCCGGGCGGGCUUCCGCUGGGUCCCGGGG
rnacentral:lncRNA from 1 species